CACGUAGGGUGCGAGCGUUGUCCGGAAUUAUUGGGCGUAAAGAGCUCGUAGGCGGUGUGUCGCGUCGGCCGUGAAAACCUGCAGCUUAACUGUGGGCUUGCGGUCGAUACGGGCAUCACUGGAGUUCGGCAGGGGAGACUGGAAUUCCUGGUGUGAGCGGUGGAAUGCGCAGAUAUCAGGAGGAAUACCGAUGGCGAAGGCAGGUCUCUGGGCUGACACUGACGCUCGAUGCACGAAAGCGUGGGGGAGCAAACAGG
rnacentral:rRNA from 1 species